rnacentral:rRNA from 1 species
GAGUUUGAUCCUGGCUCAGGAUGAACGCUGGCGGCGUGCCUAAUACAUGCAAGUCGAGCGAACGGACGAGAAGCUUGCUUCUCUGAUGUUAGCGGCGGACGGGUGAGUAACACGUGGAUAACCUACCUAUAAGACUGGGAUAACUUCGGGAAACCGGAGCUAAUACCGGGAUAAUAUUUUGAACCGCAUGGUUCAAAAGUGAAAGACGGUCUUGCUGUCACUUAUAGAUGGAUCCGCGCUGCAUUAGCUAGUUGGUAAGGUAACGGCUUACCAAGGCAACGAUGCAUAGCCGACCUGAGAGGGUGAUCGGCCACACUGGAACUGAGACACGGUCCAGACUCCUACGGGAGGCAGCAGUAGGGAAUCUUCCGCAAUGGGCGAAAGCCUGACGGAGCAACGCCGCGUGAGUGAUGAAGGUCUUCGGAUCGUAAAACUCUGUUAUUAGGGAAGAACAUAUGUGUAAGUAACUGUGCACAUCUUGACGGUACCUAAUCAGAAAGCACGGCUAACUACGUCG